UAACGAUUUAUGAAAUCAAAAUAAUUUUAGAAUUUUACGUUGAAAAGAAUUCGAAUUACGAAAUACAUUGGAAUUUAGAAAAUAAUCCUAACCCGAUUUUGGAUUCAAACAAACUCAAUUCUAAUUCCUAGCCCAAGUUGACAAAGCCCAAAUAAAUAAACCCAAAACUCCCCACACUUGUUGAGUUCACGUAAAACAAAAGAAACAAAAGCCAAAACCCUUCCCUUUCCAAUUUCACGUGAAAAUCAAGAAGCAAAACCCUCCUCUCUCAUUCCCUCCUUCACGUGUAACCCUGUUGGCUGUGGUACCAGCCACCGCCGUCGACACAGUCGCGCCACCCGACCACCGUCGUUCCUCCUCCGCCAUUCCGGUAAGCCUCCUCUUCUCCUUCUCCCUUUCCGUUUAUCACUCCUCCUCUCCCCUUAAUUGUGGCUUUCGUUUUUCGCACAACCACCACCGAGGACCACCAGCAUUCGUCACUACGCCCAGCUACGCACCACCGUGUGCGGCUCUGCCACCAGCCGUCCUCCGUCGCCACCACCGCGCGCACCACCGCCCCAUUGCCGCCGCGCCGCCGCGCCGCUUAACCACCUCCGGCCAGCCUUCUUUCCUUCUCUCUUUUGGCGGAGAAUUCUUUGUGGGCGACUUUUGAAAGUGUUAAAGUGGCCUAUCAGUUUGUUUACACAAGUCUCUAAGGAUCAAUAAGCAUUGUCCAUCUGCAGGUUUGAAGAUGUUGCAUCAUUGGGAUCGGGAAUAGAGAGCUUGUAUUUAGUUUUGAUUUGCUAAGUUGACUUGGGUUUGUUUAAUUGGACUUUAAACUUGUCAUACUAUUUAUAUUUCCUUAUUUUCGUUGGUUGAUUUUUGGGACUAAACCUGUAAUCGAUUAUUUAUAAACCUAAAGUUAGUUUUAUG